rnacentral:rRNA from 1 species
GAAGGCUGAAAUUCGCCUUCAUGAAGCUGGAAUUGCUAGUAAUCGCGAAUCAGAAUGUCGCGGUGAAUACGUUCCCGGGCCUUGUACACACCGCCCGUCACACCAUGAGAGUCGAUAACACCCGAAGCCUGUGAGCUAACCUUUUAGGAGGCAGCAGUCGAAGGUGGGGUUGAUGAUUGGGGUGAAGUCGUAACAAGGUAGC